AGAACUCAUCACUCCAAUGGAUAUAUUAGUCUUAUCUCCAAUAGGCCAAUUUUUAAUAAAUAAAGCAAAAAAAGCAAAUCAAGAUUGGCGGAAAAGAAACCUUGUAAAACAUAGAAGGGCUUUGCGGGACGCUGAAAUCCUCUCACGCUACCCGAAAAUAUGCAAGUAAACCAUUUUAUACAUUUGUCAAUAAUGUAAAUUACAAGGAAAAAGGCGUAAGAAAGACCUACUUACUUCGGAGUUGCUGGGCUAUUAAUGGCCGACGGCUAGCGAUUUCUUAAGCGCUGCACAGAGCAAAAUUUCUUUUGCUAUAUUAGAAAUGCUAUAAGAAAUGGAAAAAAUUUUGCGC